CAUAACUAGUCUCGACUUCACCACGGAUUUCCCUUCCACGACCAGACGGCGGCCAAUUGGCUGGUUUAUCUCGACAUCGAGGUUAAGGUCUCACCGGGGUCGCUAGGGACACAAUUACGGAAACCCAUCAAGGGAGCCGAGACAUUCGAAAUGAGUUGAAACGAAAGUAGAAUUGAGAAGGGGAGAUGCAUUUACCCCAUAGUUAAAUUCUUACGUUUGAUUAAGGUACGAUAUUUCUAAAUGGAUAUGAUGUACAUGUACGUGUGUGGCGCCGGUUCCCCUAACCAUAGAUUUGUAAACAUGGCAUACAGGGUAACGACGAACCUCGAGUCCGGACAGCAGAUAAUCUCCACCCAGGAAUCUCAAAGGAUGGCACAAGACACAAAAUGGAAUCGAAAAGAACUUUUCAUAGCUAGGUUUCCCACUGAAACAAAAUGAAUAUUCAUUGCAUCAAUGAUAAAACAUUUCAUGUAACCAGCUUUGCGUGUAUAUUGUUUUUAAUCUCAAUUGAUCACGAGCGCGUGUGUACGGACAUUGCUACUAUUGUGUUGAAGGACUUUCUGAACUAUGAUUAAGGAAUACAAUGGAAUAUUAUCUGAGGCAUACUGAUACUUUGUAUGACUGAAAUGGUAUCAGAUAUACACGGAUCGAUGUUAAUAAGAUUAUAUAACUUGCUACAUCAUAUACAUGCAUCGAAACUAAGAAUGAAAAAAAAAAAUUAUUUCAAAGUUCGGUUCCCCCAAAAUGUCCCAGCAUGCACACUCAGUCGAACUCCCUGUAAAAGUACUGGCGUAACUCAUCUGAUAGGGACCAAGAAUUCCGAUGUGUGUCUUAUAACAGCAUACGAAUUGAUAGCAAAGUUAAAGGCCGAUCGAUGAAAAUAGUAUCUUUACUAGUAAUCUUGAUCUAAACAUCCGGUGUCAAUUUAAGCCACAAUUUGAUUGGUCAGUCACCCUUAACGUAAAUAUACACUUAAUUGACAACAGUUUAUGAACGAAAGUUUUGGAUAGAUAUUUAUAAAGAACAUAAGUGUGUAUAAAUUUAGAAUGAAUAUGGAUAAUAUUGUGAGUUAAUUUCCGGAAACCAUUAUCAUAAAAUUAUAAGAUACAUAAAAAGUGACUUGGAAAAAUAAACUUUAAUUUAUGUGAAAGAAAAUGCGUUUAUAUAAAUGUAUGUAUAAAGAUAUGUAUUUCAACUUCAAAUGAUAGGUAUUGUCCUAUUACCAUUGAUAGUACUAAGAGGUUUGGAGACACCGUUCAACACCGUCUAGCCGAUUUGAAUGUUUUAAAGAUUUUAUCACAUAAAAGUGAAAUGAUGGUUUUUAAAAAAAGAGAUCGUCAGUUACCAAGUGUUAUCUAGUUAAAUUAUUGAAACUAUAAUAUUUUAAUUUUAUGAUUGAGUUUAAGAUACCUGAGAUUCGGGUCUUGAUUCCAACGCGACAGGGACAUUGUGAAACACUUCAGUUGAUAGCCCGAUGGUCACGUGACCGACAUUACUCUUUAGAUCGAGAUGUAUUGUCGACAGUGAUAGCGAUCUUGCAAUUUGAAACGGAUACUUCUAUGAAUUAGUUCUAAUGUCAAAAACAUGAUUUAUUGUAAUUUUGUAUGUUGUGUCAUAUGAAUUUGAUAGAGGACUACCAUAUCAUUUGUACCUAAUAACUAAGACAUCAGAAACAAACGUAUUAUUUCCAUUCGAGGCGAUAAACUGCCGGCUCCUAAUCCUAAAGAAUAAACAAACAGUAGUUUUUAAUGACCUGAAAUCGACAAACCAAUGUACGAGCUAGCAUAUAUACGGAAGCACAAUAAAACAACAUUUGUAAUUGUCCAACAUCACAAUCCGUUUAUUACUUUUAGCCUUACGGCCAAUCAGUCAAAAAGAAAAAAAAUUAUACGGCAUGGCAACCGUAUAGAGAAUGAGAUAUACAUUAUACAAACGUCGACUGAUGUAUGCACGUGUUAAACAACAAAUAUAUACUACCGAUAUGAAACGAAACCGUUACUCUAAAUUGAUGAGAUUUGGGCAAAUCAUUAAUAAAAUAUAGAGCUGUAUAAAGAUCAUUCAACAAUUAUUAGAUUCUGUGUCCGCCUGAAACAUAGGAUACCAUGGAAAGGCAUGAGGAACAAACAACAUUUAAAGUUACAAACAAGAUCUAUCAACAACAACAGCAUUGUCUAUGGUCUUGAUGUGAAUUAACAAUAAGAAAUCAUUCUAAGAAUAAUAAACAAACACAACAACAAUUGGCAACAUACAGACAUUAUUUUACAUGUAUGCAAGUUAAGUGUGUAUUUUUAAAGGAAUUGAAAGUCACAUGAAAUGCAUAUUAAAUAAUAAAUGCAAUGUCCAAUACAGGAAUACCUCCUUGCAGUUUUCGGAGAGGAGAUAAUGGCGAGAAGACAUAAGACAAUACGAUAAAAUAAUUCAGAGGUCAACACUAGUUCUGCACAAUAAAUAAUUAAUAUAUAAAAUAGCAUCAUACAGCUGUCUCUUCUCUGUGUUAAUUGUGUAAAUAGAGACGAGCCACCAGGUUACCAAUAUCGACAUUACGUCGGUAUAAUAUAUAAAAGAAGGUACAUUAAGACGAGUAUAUUUUGUAAAAUGUCUGAUAAACUCUAAACGAGAAAUGCGUGAUUAUAUCCUGAACAGGUGACACUAUCAAUAAAAAUAAACACAUGAUUUUUAAAAUUGUAUUCAGAUCUUUCUCUGGAAAGUUUUAUGUCGUAAUACUUGUAUCUCUCCUCAAAAAGGUCAAUGCAUAUUUAAUUCAACGCAGCCCAAUAAUAAUACCACAAAAGUAUUGGUGUAUUAUUAUUGUCUGCUUCAGUUAGUCGGAGAAUUGAUGAUGGCGAGAAGAAAAUUAAACAAAAAAAAAUCUC